rnacentral:rRNA from 1 species
CAGGCUUAACACAUGCAAGUCGAGGGGCAGCAUGGUCUUAGCUUGCUAAGGCCGAUGGCGACCGGCGCACGGGUGAGUAACGCGUAUCCAACCUGCCUUACACUCUUGGACAGCCUUCUGAAAGGGAGAUUAAUACAAGAUGUUAUCAUGAGUAAGCAUUUUCGCAUGAUUAAAGGUUUACCGGUGUAAGAUGGGGAUGCGUUCCAUUAGAUAGUAGGCGGGGUAACGGCCCACCUAGUCUUCGAUGGAUAGGGGUUCUGAGAGGAAGGUCCCCCACAUUGGAACUGAGACACGGUCCAAACUCCUACGGGAGGCAGCAGUGAGGAAUAUUGGUCAAUGGACGAGAGUCUGAACCAGCCAAGUAGCGUGAAGGAUGAAGGUUCUAUGGAUUGUAAACUUCUUUUAUACGGGAAUAAACGAAUCCACGUGUGGAUUUUUGCAUGUACCGUAUGAAUAAGGAUCGGCUAACUCCGUGCCAGCAGCCGCGGUAAUACGGAGGAUCCGAGCGUUAUCCGGAUUUAUUGGGUUUAAAGGGAGCGUAGAUGGGUUGUUAAGUCAGUUGUGAAAGUUUGCGGCUCAACCGUAAAAUUGCAAUUGAUACUGGCAGUCUUGAGUACAGUUGAGGUAGGCGGAAUUCGUGGUGUAGCGGUGAAAUGCUUAGAUAUCACGAAGAACUCCGAUUGCGAAGGCAGCUUACUAACCUGUAACUGACAUUGAUGCUCGAAAGUGUGGGUAUCAAACAGGAUUAGAUACCCUGGUAGUCCACACGGUAAACGAUGAAUACUCGCUGUAGGCGAUAUACAGUCUGCGGCCAAGCGAAAGCAUUAAGUAUUCCACCUGGGGAGUACGCCGGCAACGGUGAAACUCAAAGGAAUUGACGGGGGGCCCGCACAAGCGGAGGAACAUGUGGUUUAAUUCGAUGAUACGCGAGGAACCUUACCCGGGCUUAAAUUGCAACCGAAUAUGGCGGAAACGCUAUAGCUAGCAAUAGCGGUUGUGAAGGUGCUGCAUGGUUGUCGUCAGCUCGUGCCGUGAGGUGUCGGCUUAAGUGCCAUAACGAGCGCAACCCUUGCCGAUAGUUACUAACAGGUCAUGCUGAGGACUCUGUCGGGACUGCCAUCGUAAGAUGUGAGGAAGGUGGGGAUGACGUCAAAUCAGCACGGCCCUUACGUCCGGGGCUACACACGUGUUACAAUGGGGGGUACAGAGGGCUGCUACCACGCAAGUGGAUGCCAAUCCCAAAAACCUCUCUCAGUUCGGAUUGAAGUCUGCAACCCGACUUCAUGAAGCUGGAUUCGCUAGUAAUCGCGCAUCAGCCACGGCGCGGUGAAUACGUUCCCGGGCCUUGUACACACCGCCCGUCAAGCUAUGGGAGCCGGGGGUACCUGAAGUGCGUAACCGCAAGGAGCGCCCUAGGGUAAAACUGGUGACUGGGCC